AGCGUUCCCCAGGUGAAAGGUCAAGUCACUUUUGAACCAGAAACAGCGGCAGAAGCGCCUGACCUGGGUUAUAGAAAAGCAGCACUGGACUGUUGCUCAGUGGUCCAAAGUACUUUUUUCGGAUGGAAGCAAAUUUUGCAUAUCAUUCAGAAAUCAAGGUACCAGAGUCUGGAGGAAGACUGGGGAGAAGGAAAUGCCAAAAUGCCAGAAGUCCAGUGUCAAGUCCCCACAGUCAG